AGACCCGAAACCCGGUGAUCUAGCCAUGGGCAGGUUGAAGGUUGGGUAACACUAACUGGAGGACCGAACCGACUAAUGUUGAAAAAUUAGCGGAUGACCUGUGGCUGGGGGUGAAAGGCCAAUCAAACCGGGAGAUAGCUGGUUCUCCCCGAAAGCUAUUUAGGUAGCGCCUCGUGAAUUCAUCUCCGGGGGUAGAGCACUGUUUCGGCUAGGGGGCCAUCCCGGCUUACCAACCCGAUGCAAACUGCGAAUACCGGAGAAUGUUAUCACGGGAGACACACGGCGGGUGCUAACGUCCGUCGUGAAGAGGGAAACAACCCAGACCGCCAGCUAAGGUCCCAAAGUCAUGGUUAAGUGGGAAACGAUGUGGGAAGGCCCAGACAGCCAGGAUGUUGGCUUAGAAGCAGCCAUCAUUUAAAGAAAGCGUAAUAGCUCACUGGUCGAGUCGGCCUGCGCGGAAGAUGUAACGGGGCUAAACCAUGCACCGAAGCUGCGGCAGCGACACUUUAGUGUUGUUGGGUAGGGGAGCGUUCUGUAAGCCGUUGAAGGUGUCCUGUGAGGGGUGCUGGAGGUAUCAGAAGUGCGAAUGCUGACAUAAGUAACGAUAAAGCGGGUGAAAAGCCCGCUCGCCGGAAGACCAAGGGUUCCUGUCCAACGUUAAUCGGGGCAGGGUGAGUCGACCCCUAAGGCGAGGCCGAAAGGCGUAGUCGAUGGGAAACGGGUUAAUAUUCCCGUACUUGGUGUUACUGCGAAGGGGGGACGGAGAAGGCUAUGUUGGCCGGGCGACGGUAGUCCCGGUUUAAGCGUGUAGGCUGGUUUUCCAGGCAAAUCCGGAAAAUCAAGGCUGAGGCGUGAUGACGAGGCACCACGGUGCUGAAGCAACAAAUGCCCUGCUUCCAGGAAAAGCCUCUAAGCAUCAGGUAACAUCAAAUCGUACCCCAAACCGACACAGGUGGUCAGGUAGAGAAUACCAAGGCGCUUGAGAGAACUCGGGUGAAGGAACUAGGCAAAAUGGUGCCGUAACUUCGGGAGAAGGCACGCUGACACGUAGGUGAAGUGAUUUACUCAUGGAGCUGAAGUCAGUCGAAGAUACCAGCUGGCUGCAACUGUUUAUUAAAAACACAGCACUGUGCAAACACGAAAGUGGACGUAUACGGUGUGACGCCUGCCCGGUGCCGGAAGGUUAAUUGAUGGGGUCAGCGCAAGCGAAGCUCCUGAUCGAAGCCCCGGUAAACGGCGGCCGUAACUAUAACGGUCCUAAGGUAGCGAAAUUCCUUGUCGGGUAAGUUCCGACCUGCACGAAUGGCGUAAUGAUGGCCAGGCUGUCUCCACCCGAGACUCAGUGAAAUUGAACUCGCUGUGAAGAUGCAGUGUACCCGCGGCAAGACGGAAAGACCCCGUGAACCUUUACUAUAGCUUGACACUGAACAUUGAGCCUUGAUGUGUAGGAUAGGUGGGAGGCUUUGAAGCGUGGACGCCAGUCUGCGUGGAGCCGACCUUGAAAUACCACCCUUUAAUGUUUGAUGUUCUAACGUGGACCCGUAAUCCGGGUUGCGGACAGUGUCUGGUGGGUAGUUUGACUGGGGC
rnacentral:rRNA from 1 species